UGGUGGAGUGAUUUGUCUGGUUAAUUCCGAUAACGAACGAGACUCUGUCCUGCUAACUAGGUUGCGUUUUCUCGGGUUGGUGUUUCUGGUGUUCCUUCUCGGGGCGCCGGCCCAAUCCACUUGUGAACACAACACUCUUCUUAGAGGGACUGGCGGCUGUUAGCCGCACGAGAUAGAGCAAUAACA
rnacentral:rRNA from 1 species